UACGAAGGGGGCUAGCGUUGCUCGGAAUCACUGGGCGUAAAGGGUGCGUAGGCGGGUCUUUAAGUCAGGGGUGAAAUCCUGGAGCUCAACUCCAGAACUGCCUUUGAUACUGAGGAUCUUGAGUUCGGGAGAGGUGAGUGGAACUGCGAGUGUAGAGGUGAAAUUCGUAGAUAUUCGCAAGAACACCAGUGGCGAAGGCGGGUCUCUGGACAGUUCCUGACGCUGAGGCACGAAGGUCAGGGGAGCAAACGGG
rnacentral:rRNA from 1 species